AGCUUCUUCUAUUUCUGCUUCUUCUUCAAAACCUUUCCUUCAUUUAUCAAGCCAUAUUCCUUGCUCUAAAAUCUGUACAUUAAACAAGUUCCUCUGUAAAGGUAUAUUUGCCUAUUUGGCAGGAUAAUCGAGGAUGAACCUGUAUGGUAAACAGCAAGAAUACUCCAGAGCCUUGUCCUUGUGAAAAAAAAAAGAGCAUGCAGUUCACCACACCUGGCUGGGGGAAGGAAAGUGGAAAAUAAUUGCAAAAUUCUUAAGGAGACUUCCAGAAUGUCUGUCCCUCC